rnacentral:rRNA from 1 species
UGCUUCUUGAACAAUAUAAAAAGUAAUCUCCUGCCCAGUGAAUUUAUUUAACGGCCGCGGUAUAAUAACCGUGCAAAGGUAGCAUAAUAACUUGCCUAUUAAUUGUAGGCUAGAAUGAACGGGGUAACGAAAUAAGAGCUGUCUCAAUAGACAUUCCAUAAACUAAUAUCCAAGUGAAGAAGCUUAGAUAAUAAUAUAGGACAAGAAGACCCUAUAGAGCUUUAUCUUACCUACAUAAUUCAUGUAAUACGAUUCGGUUGGGGCGACCAAGGAAAAUUCAUCCUUAAAUUUAAAGAUUCAUUUAUCUCCCAAAAGAUCCUUAAAAUAAGAUCAUCAAAACUAGCUACCUUAGGGAUAACAGGCUAAUCCCAUUAUAGAGCUCUUAUCAACAAUGGGGAUUGGCACCUCGAUGUUGGCUUAGAAUAUCUCUGUGGCGCAAAAGCCACAAAAAGAAGGUUUGUUCAACCUAUAAUAUUC